GACGAACGCUGGCGGCGUGCUUAACACAUGCAAGUCGAACGGAAAGGCCCUGCUUUUGUGGGGUGCUCGAGUGGCGAACGGGUGAGUAACACGUGAGUAACCUGCCCUUGACUUUGGGAUAACUUCAGGAAACUGGGGCUAAUACCGGAUAGGAGCUCCUGCUGCAUGGUGGGGGUUGGAAAGUUUCGGCGGUUGGGGAUGGACUCGCGGCUUAUCAGCUUGUUGGUGGGGUAGUGGCUUACCAAGGCUUUGACGGGUAGCCGGCCUGAGAGGGUGACCGGCCAAAUUGGGAAGGAGAUACGGCCCAGACUCCUACGGGGGGGAGCAGUGGGGAAUAUUGCAAAAGGGGCGGAAGCCUGAUGCAGCAACGCCGCGUGGGGGAGGACGGCUUUCGGGUUGUAAACCGCUUUCGCCUGUGACGAAGCGGGAGUGACGGUAGUGGGUAAAGAAGCACCGGCUAACUACGUG
rnacentral:rRNA from 1 species